CCUACGGGAGGCAGCAGUGGGGAAUAUUGGGCAAUGGAGGAAACUCUGACCCAGCGACGCCGCGUGCGGGAUGAAGGCCUUCGGGUUGUAAACCGCUUUCAGUAGGGAAGAAGCGAAAGUGACGGUACCUACAAAAGAAGCACCGGCUAACUAUGUGCCAGCAGCCGCGGUAAUACAUAGGGUGCAAGCGUUGUCCGGAAUUAUUGGGCGUAAAGAGCUCGUAGGUCGUUUGUUACGUCGGAUGUGAAAACCUGAGGCUCAACCUCAGGCCUGCAUUCGAUACGGGCAAACUAGAGUUUGGUAGGGGAGACUGGAAUUCCUGGUGUAGCGGUGGAAUGCGCAGAUAUCAGGAGGAACACCAAUGGCGAAGGCAGGUCUCUGGGCCAAUACUGACACUGAGGAGCGAAAGUCUGGGGAGCGAACAGGAUUAGGUACCCUGGUAGUCCAGACCGUAAACGGUGGGCACUAGUUGUGGGAACCUUCCACGGUUUCUGCGACGCAGCUACGCAUAAGUCGCCCGCCGUCGGGUAGGUACGAGUCGCGAGAAGUAAACGUAACAAAUAGAAGUUAGUAACGGUCGUGUUAGACGUCGCCGAACGGACGACCGACGAGGGAGGAGG
rnacentral:rRNA from 1 species